rnacentral:sRNA from 1 species
CCCUCGGAGUGUCACAUAAAACGAAAGUAGUAAUUUUUAGGAAUUACAAAAUCGGACACAUUGAACAGGGAA